AUCGAGAACAGUGCCUGGGCCAUCAAUCUUUACAAAGGAAACUACUUAUAAAUCGAUUGCAAUCGUCAACGGAUCCCGAAGGAAGUCGCAUAACAAGCAACAGGUUAUAAGAUAAUAACAAGCCAUGUUGAGCAAGAAAAUUCCAGCCCUGUUUAUCGUGUUGUGCAUGAUGACAAUGCACGGGAAAGAGGUCAUUGGUGCCACGUACCUUAUGGAUGACAGUAAUGACGAUUGCAGUACUACAAAAAAGACCGUGUACUCCUCUGCCCAUACCGUGAAAGCGUGGAAGGACAGUCAGAGCAAACCCUCCCUGCAGGGGAGCAGGACGUGUACCUUGUAUUUUGAUACUCUCUACAGUUCAACGUAUGUAAAAGUGUCCUUCACGUCCGGUUCUUAUUUCGAUUGUGAAACAACCUUAACC